rnacentral:rRNA from 1 species
UACGUAGGGGGCAAGCGUUGUCCGGAAUCAUUGGGCGUAAAGGGCGUGUAGGCGGUUUGUUAAGUCAUGUGUGAAAUCCCUCGGCUCAACCUCCAGACGUCGACGGAAACCGUGUGGCUAGAGUCCGGAAGAGGAGAGUGGAAUUCCUGGUGUAGCGGUGAAAUGCGCAGAUAUCAGGAGGAACACCAGCGGCGAAGGCGGUGCUCUGGGCCGGAACUGACGCUGAGGAGCGAAAGCGUGGGGAGCGAACAGG